UGCGCAGGCGGACCUAUCAGUCAGUGGGGAAAUCUCUCGGCUCAACCGGGAAACUGCCAUUGAUACUGUAGGUCUUGAGUUUGGUUGAAGUGGGCGGAAUGUAGCAUGUAGCGGUGAAAUGCAUAGAUAUGCUACAGAACACCGAUCGCGAAGGCAGCUCACUAAACCAAAACUGACGCUCAGGCACGAAAGCGUGGGUAGCGAACAGGAUUAGAUACCCUGGUAGUCC
rnacentral:rRNA from 1 species